UACAGGGGGUGCAAACGUUGCUCGGAAUCAUUGGGCGUAAAGCGCACGUAGGCGGUUCGUUAUGUCGGAUGUGAAAGCCCUUGGCUUAACCGAGGAAGUGCAUCCGAAACUGGCGAGCUAGAGUACUAAAGAGGAUCGCGGAAUUCCCGGUGUAGAGGUGAAAUUCGUAGAUAUCGGGAGGAACACCGGUGGCGAAGGCGGCGAUCUGGGUAGAUACUGACGCUGAGGAGCGAAAGCCAGGGGAGCAAACAGG
rnacentral:rRNA from 1 species